ACCCCAGUCAAUACUCUUAGAUUUGAGCAUUACAGGGCAAUGAUCCGAAAAGUUCCUAUUGAGCGUGAAUUGUGAGGAGCCAGGCCAUUUGGAUAGCCGUUCUGGAGAAACCAGAAACCUAUCCAACUUGCUCUUAGCAGUGCCAUUUGGUUUGAACCAUGUAAAUCGCUUACCCACCCAAGGUGCUUCUUCUACCUCCAACUUCGCGAUCCAUUCAUGAACUCUUUAAUACUUCCCUCC
rnacentral:lncRNA from 1 species